rnacentral:rRNA from 1 species
CACGUAGGGGGCGAGCGUUGUCCGGAUUUAUUGGGCGUAAAGAGCUCGUAGGCGGUUGGGUAAGUCGGGUGUGAAAACUCAGGGCUCAACUCUGAGACGCCACUCGAUACUGCUCUGACUCGAGUCCGGUAGGGGAGCGUGGAAUUCCCGGUGUAGCGGUGAAAUGCGCAGAUAUCGGGAGGAACACCAGUGGCGAAGGCGGCGCUCUGGGCCGGAACUGACGCUGAGGAGCGAAAGCGUGGGUAGCAAACAGG